rnacentral:rRNA from 1 species
UACGUAGGGGGCAAGCGUUGUCCGGAAUCAUUGGGCGUAAAGAGCUUGUAGGCGGCUCGAUAAGUCUGCUGUGAAAGUCCAGGGCUCAACCCUGGAAGGCCGGUGGAAACUGUCGGGCUAGAGUCCGGAAGAGGCGAGUGGAAUUCCCGGUGUAGCGGUGAAAUGCGCAGAUAUCGGGAGGAACACCAAUGGCGAAGGCAGCUCGCUGGGACGGUACUGACGCUGAGACGCGAAAGCGUGGGGAGCAAACAGG